rnacentral:rRNA from 1 species
AACGAACGCUGGCGGCAGGCUUAACGCAUGCAAGUCGAACGGUGUGGCAAUACACAGUGGCAGACGGGUGAGGAACACGUGGGAACAUCCCUUUCGGUUCGGAAUAACAUUGGGAAACUAACGCUAAUACCGGAUACGUCCUUCGGGAGAAAGAUUUAUUGCCGAGAGAAUGGCCCGCGUCUGAUUAGCUAGUUGGUGAGGUAACGGCUAACCAAGGCUACGAUCAGUAGCUGAUCUGAGAGGAUGAUCAGCCACAUUGGGACUGAGACACGGCCCAAACUCCUACGGGAGGCAGCAGUGGGGAAUAUUGGACAAUGGGCGCAAGCCUGAUCCAGCCAUGCCGCGUGAGUGAUGAAGGCCUCCGGGUUGUAUAGCUCUUUUAUCCGGGAAGAUAAUGACUGUACCGGAAGAAUAAGCCCCGGCAAACUUCGUGCCAGCAGCCGCGGUAAGAC